AUCCAAAUCUUUUCACAAAUUUGGAGAAACAACUUUUCUGAGAAACUCGUCCUCAUUCCAGAAAGGGAAAGGGAGACAGACAGUUUUGAUCAAUCACCCGCUCUUGGAGCGAUGUGGAGUGAUCUAAACCCGUCGAGGAUGACUUAUGCGUGAUGCUAAUCCUAUUGGGAGGUCGUACGAGUCGAUAAAGACACGGGAAGAAAAGAUGAAACCCUAGCGUACCGG
rnacentral:misc_RNA from 1 species